rnacentral:rRNA from 1 species
UACAGAGGUCCCAAGCGUUGUUCGGAAUCACUGGGCGUAAAGGGUGCGUAGGCGGGUCUUUAAGUCAGGGGUGAAAUCCUGGAGCUCAACUCCAGAACUGCCUUUGAUACUGAGGAUCUUGAGUACGGGAGAGGUGAGUGGAACUGCGAGUGUAGAGGUGAAAUUCGUAGAUAUUCGCAAGAACACCAGUGGCGAAGGCGGCUCACUGGCCCGUAACUGACGCUGAGGCACGAAAGCGUGGGGAGCAAACAGG